rnacentral:rRNA from 1 species
UACGGGGGGAGCAAGCGUUGUUCGGAUUUACUGGGCGUAAAGGGCGCGUAGGCGGCCACCGCAAGUCGACUGUGAAAUCUCCGGGCUUAACUCGGAAAGGUCAGCCGAUACUGCGGGGCUAGAGUGCAGAAGGGGCAACUGGAAUUCUCGGUGUAGCGGUGAAAUGCGUAGAUAUCGAGAGGAACACCUGCGGCGAAGGCGGGUUGCUGGGCUGACACUGACGCUGAUUGUGCGAAAGCUAGGGGAGCGAACGGG